ACGAUGACUAUCUAGCUUGCUAGAUAUGAUUAGUGGCGAACGGGUGAGUAAUGCUUAGGAAUCUGCCUAUUAGUGGGGGAUAACCAUCCGAAAGGAUGGCUAAUACCGCAUACGUCUUACGAGAGAAAGGGGGCUUUUAGCUCUCGCUAAUAGAUGAGCCUAAGUCGGAUUAGCUAGUUGGUGGGGUAAAGGCCUACCAAGGCGACGAUCUGUAGCUGGUCUGAGAGGAUGAUCAGCCACACUGGGACUGAGACACGGCCCAGACUCCUACGGGAGGCAGCAGUGGGGAAUAUUGGACAAUGGGCGAAAGCCUGAUCCAGCCAUGCCGCGUGUGUGAAGAAGGCCUUUUGGUUGUAAAGCACUUUAAGUGGGGAGGAAAAGCUUGUGGUUAAUACCCACAAGCCCUGACGUUACCUAC
rnacentral:rRNA from 1 species